CCAGUGCCAGUGUGUGGGUCAAACAGUGUGGAGUCACCAGAGGACGUCUGUGUCCUGACCACAGAGAGACCGAGCUCUAUGCUGGAGAAAGAACAGUUACUGAGGGGACAGAUCACCUGUGGUCAGUAUCUGUACUGUCAUUCCAGGACGUUACCUAUCACUUCAGAGUGGCCAAGUCUAGUGAAGUGAGGUGUGGCGUAGAGGAUGAGAACGUAUCCACCACACCGCCAUACUCUGACUUCUACUUCCUCAUUCAAAGCAGCUGCUCGUGAGAGGAGAGGAAACUAAGCAUGCYAACUAGUGUGCUGCUUUGAACGUAUCCCCAGACUGACCCAAGGGUAUCUUAACUAGUACACCUCCUAUCCCAUCCUUCUCUCUCUCUCUCUGGCUCCUUCCAAACAAUAGGGGAUCGAAAAACUAUUUGUUCUGCUCUCAAACUUAUGAGAGAGGCAUGAAUGUGGAACUGUAUCCACCCAAGCUCCGAUGCCUUACAUGAUGUCAUGYUGAUAUAGACUUACAGUGUAUUCGGAGAGUAUUCAAACCCCUUGACUUUUUCCAUAUUUUAUCACAUUUUACAU